rnacentral:rRNA from 1 species
GCGCGAAAACUUUACAAUGCUGGCAACAGCGAUAAGGGAACCUCGAGUGCCAGGUUACAAAUCUGGCUGUCGAGAUGCCUAAAAAGCAUUUCAUAGCAAGGGCCGGGCAAGACCGGUGCCAGCCGCCGCGGUAACACCGGCGGCUCGAGUGGUAACCGUUAUUAUUGGGUCUAAAGGGUCUGUAGCCGGCCGGAUAAGUCUCUUGAGAAAUCUGGCAGCUUAACUGUCAGGCUUUCAGGAGAUACUGUCUGGCUCGAGGCCGGGAGAGGUGAGAGGUACUUCAGGGGUAGGGGUGAAAUCUUGUAAUCCUUGAAGGACCACCAGUGGCGAAGGCGUCUCACCAGAACGGACCUGACGGCAAGGGAUGAAAGCUAGGGGCACGAACCG